rnacentral:lncRNA from 1 species
UAUAGAAAAAAGCAUGUAACAUAUUGCUUAAUAGAUUUUACUACUUCUUAUCUCUUCCUUUUUCUCUAGCCUUUAAUCCUUGGCUUUUAAGGCACAACACUGCUGAGUCUCCUCCUACCCACUGACUACUUAUUCCUCUGUCUGCUUUGUAAUACUAUCCUUCUCUUCCAAUCCUUUCUUAGUGCUCCUUCCUUCUUAUCUUUAUAUGAUUUCUGGGUCAAUUCAUCUAUUUCAUGGUUUCCUUUACCACAUAUAUCUUCAUUACUCAUAUAUUCAUAUCGCUAGGCUAGAUCAGUCUGUUAAGGUCCAUCUCAACUGGAAAAUUCCACAGACACGUAGAGCUCAGCAUCAAAUCUACCCUCUCCACAUAUAAGACCCACUUUUGUAUUCCUUUAUCUAGUUAAUAGUACCACUAUCAACCCAAUCACACAAGCUAGGAAACUGAGAGUGAUCCUACAUUCCAUCUCCAGGUCACUAACUCUCAUCAAUUCUACCUUCUAAGUAAUUCUCAAUUCAUUCCUCACUCUGCAGCACUUUAGCUCUCACUUGUAUCUUAACUGAUCUUUCCUCCAUCCUCAUACUUCUAUAAUUGUUCUCAAUAUUAUGACCAGAAAUUUGUUUUAAAAUGCAAAUCCUAUUGUGCUACCCUCUUACAUGUAGGGUUAGUUCCAAACUUCUUUGCGUGAUAUACAAGACCUUCAGUACCCUUUCCUUCACUUACUUUGAGUCUCAUCUCCUUCAGCCUUACACCCCUACUCUCACACAGUCACGCCAAACUACUGAUAUUCAUGGAGGCCAAAUCCUUCUCUCUAUAAUUCUUUUUUGCAUUUGCCAUUCAUGUGCAUGAGAAAACAUCUACUUAUCCUUUGAGACCAUGCAUAAUGCCAACCCUCUCUGAAGUCUUUCUCAAAAACCCAGGUAACAUUGAUCACUCCUUCCCUUUGCUAUCAGCCCAACAUAAACUUUUCUCUAUCACUGCCAUGAUAACCGUUUGGGGGAAUAGCAAAAUUCUCGUAAUGAACUAAAAAUCUCUCAAGAUGACUGCUUUGAGUGGUGACGAGCAUUUUAGAUACACACGUUCUGAUAUGCUUGUUAAAAAAAAUCCAUUUCAUUACUUUAUAUUCACAGUGUAAACACAGAAAGUUUGUUAUGGGAUAUAAAUUUGGAAAAUUAAUGAUUGUAGCUCAGAGAUUAAUGUUAUUUGUGGGAAUAUGUUUUCUAUCAUUAAAUCAAGGAUCUGAAAUCUGCAGUGUCGCUGUGUUUAGACUGUAAACUUGAUAACGUAGUGGGUGGCUGCCCAUUCUCAAAAAGUAGCAUUCUCAGAAGAGUAUGAUAACGCCCUGCUAAUUCUAGUUUAUGACUUUUGAAUACGUUAUUUGGUAAAAUGAUUAAAGACUUGUUAAAUAUUUUCUACAAUUGCCUAGUCAGAAGAUCUGGGAGUUUUAUGUUUUAAAAGUCUGUCUCUUAAACAAAUUAUUUGCUAGAUUUCAGUGAAGCAAAUACACACACAAAAAACGCAACAUGUAUUUUACCUGUCAGAAAUGCAAAUCUCAUCAGCUCAGUUAGAACUAUAAAAUGCACUUUAUCCUUCUCAGGCAGAAACACAUAAGAAAAUGACUUGUAUAGCUGAAAAAUGAUGGGCACCUGGCUUUCAAUCUGGAUAUCUUUGAUAUUCAAUGACAUCUGAGUUGGCUCAUACACUUGGCUCAUAUGCUUGUCUCUAAGUGCAGAGAGUCCUGUCUUCCACUUGCCAUCAGAAGGGUUGUCUCUCUGCUGUUUAAGGAGGAGCUUGCAGUCAUCUGGCAGCAAGCUUUUGGUCUGGCGGAGACUACAUGCUUCUGUUGAGCACAAGACAACAGCUAAGAGCAUCUGGAAAAUACUUGCAAUGCUUGGGAAUGGAGAGUUUCUGCUAAUAGGAGAUGAAAUGAAGUGAUGUAUGCAUGAAUUUAAACUUUUGGAUCCAAAGACGAGACAAUCUUUUCCUUGCCAAUGUAGUUCUCACCUAUUUUGGCACUAAAACCUGGCCAUGGGAUCUCCCACCCUGACUGAAGUGUUGGGUAAUAAUUGGGUCGUUUCAGUUCAGUUGAGCAGAGAAUGCUCAGUUUAAUUACAGGUCAAACCAACAGUCAUGUAACUAUGAAGUCACGUCUGAAAUAUCGGCAUUCUUUAUUAAUAAAAAUGGUGCUUAUAGAGGGC